GACGAACGCUGGCGGCGUGCCUAAUACAUGCAAGUUGAGCGAUGAAGCUUGGUGCUUGCACCCAUUUGAAGAGCAGCGAACGGGUGAGUAACGCGUGGGGAAUCUGCCUUUGAGCGGGGGACAACAUUUGGAAACGAAUGCUAAUACCGCAUAACAACUUUAAACAUAAGUUUUAAGUUUGAAAGAUGCAAUUGCAUCACUCAAAGAUGAUCCCGCGUUGUAUUAGCUAGUUGGUGAGGUAAAGGCUCACCAAGGCGAUGAUACAUAGCCGACCUGAGAGGGUGAUCGGCCACAUUGGGACUGAGACACGGCCCAAACUCCUACGGGAGGCAGCAGUAGGGAAUCUUCGGCAAUGGACGAAAGUCUGGCCGAGCAACGCUGCGUGAGUGAAGAAGGUUGUCGGAUCGUAAAACUCUGUUGGUAGAGAAGAACGUUGGUGAGAGUGGAAAGCUCAUCAAGUGACGGUAACUACCCAGAAAGGGACGGCUAACUACGUG
rnacentral:rRNA from 1 species